GCUCUCUCCCAGAAUUCCCCUUGUUUGCCUGCGGCGUUGUAACGAUGGAGCCGCCGGCUCAGUGUUUCCACGCUCUCUCCCAGAAUUCCCCUUGUUUGCCUGCGGCGUUGUAACGAUGGAGCCGCCGGCUCAGUGUUUCCACGCUCUCUCCCAGCUCCUCACCAGAUGGGUUGGCAGCAAUGAUGAUGAUGACGCUCAUCUUGCGUCAUUCGAGAUUGCCCAACUGGGAUAUUGUAUCAGCAUCAGUCUGACCUAAUGGGUCCAACGUGUUGCCGUCAAUUGUAGUUAUCAUUUGUUUGACGCUAAAAUUGUCUCUAUGUGGCCCCUGGAAAAACUUUUUAGUCGGCUUCUGAUUCCUUCUGUCGUGACCGGAAGAACAGGAGGCUUUCUCACCUUCUGGAGCAAGAGGCUGGUCCAGGAUCACUUUCUUCCCAGAGCCGGAAUCAGCGUUUUCUGACUCCAAGGAGCACUGGCACCCUGUAAUGGGAAGUGGUAUUUAGAGAUCACAAUCCGAGUGCCUAGUGAUCCUCACUGCUUCUGGGUGAGAUGUUAUUU
rnacentral:lncRNA from 1 species